rnacentral:rRNA from 1 species
UACGUAGGGUGCGAGCGUUGUCCGGAAUUAUUGGGCGUAAAGGGCUCGUAGGCGGUCUGUCACGUCGGGAGUGAAAACUCAGGGCUUAACCCUGAGCCUGCUUCCGAUACGGGCAGACUAGAGGUAUGCAGGGGAGAACGGAAUUCCUGGUGUAGCGGUGAAAUGCGCAGAUAUCAGGAGGAAUACCGAUGGCGAAGGCAGGUCUCUGGGCUGACACUGACGCUCAUGCACGAAAGCGUGGGGAGCAAACGGG